rnacentral:rRNA from 1 species
GACAGAGGGGGCAAGCGUUGCUCGGAAUCACUGGGCGUAAAGGGCGCGUAGGCGGGAUGGCAAGUCGGUCGUGAAAUCCUUCGGCUCAACCGAAGAACGUCGGCCGAUACUGCCGUUCUUGAGGGAUGCAGAGGAGAUUGGAAUUCCCGGUGUAGCGGUGAAAUGUGCAGAUAUCAGGAAGAACACCCGUGGCGAAGGCGGUUCUCUGGGACGGUACUGACGCUGAGACGCGAAAGCGUGGGGAGCGAACAGG